ACGGAGGGUGCAAGCGUUAUUCGGAAUUAUUGGGCGUAAAGGGCGUGCAGGCGGGAGAGUAAGUCAGAUGUGAAAGCCCGGGGCUUAACCCCGGACGGGCAUUGGAUACUGCUUUUCUUGAGUACUGUCAAGGCAGGGAGAAUUUCCGAUGUAGAGGUGAAAUUCGUAGAGAUCACACGGAACAUCGAUUGCGAAGGCGGCUUGCUGGGCAACUACUGACGCUGAUGCACGAAAGCGUGGGGAGCAAACAG
rnacentral:rRNA from 1 species